UGCGUAGGCGGAAUAUUAAGUCAGUGGUGAAAUCCUGCGGCUCAACCGUAGAACUGCCAUUGAUACUGAUAUUCUUGAAUGUAGUUGAGGUAGGCGGAAUGUGUAAUGUAGCGGUGAAAUGCUUAGAUAUUACACAGAACACCGAUUGCGAAGGCAGCUUGCUAAACUAUGAUUGACGCUGAGGCACGAAAGCGUGGGGAGCGAACAGGAUUAGAUACCCUGGUAGUCC
rnacentral:rRNA from 1 species